GUACGGGAGGCAGCAGUGGGGAAUCUUGCACAAUGGAGGAAACUCUGAUGCAGCGACGCCGCGUGAGCGAUGAAGCCCUUCGGGGUGUAAAGCUCUUUCGACAGGAACGAUAAUGACGGUACCUGGAGAAGAAGCUGCGGCUAACUACGUGCCAGCAGCCGCGGUAAUACGUAGGCAGCAAGCGUUGUUCGGAAUUACUGGGCGUAAAGAGUGUGUAGGCGGUUCUCUAAGUUCGGUGUGAAAUCUCCCGGCUUAACUGGGAGGGUGCGCCGGAAACUGGAGGGCUUGAGUAUGGGAGAGGAAGGCGGAAUUCCUGGUGUAGCGGUGAAAUGCGUAGAUAUCAGGAGGAACACCUGCGGUGUAGACAGCUUUCUGGACCAUCACUGACGCUGAGACACGAAAGCGUGGGUAGCAAACAGGAUUAGAUACCCGUGUAGUCCU
rnacentral:rRNA from 1 species